AACCAGCUGUUAGGAUUUCUGGGAGUUGAAGGCCAAAACAUCUGGGGACCCACAGGUUAAGAACCACUGAGCAAGGAGAUGUCAACUUUUAUGCAGAGGGAGAAGAUGAGGCUGGGUGAAGGUCAGCUGGACCAGAAUGAAAAGCAGUAGGAGCGUUCACUUAAAAUUCAUCAAGGCAGAACUGCUGCCACCUCACCUUGCCUCAUCUUAGAAGAUAAGCAGGACCUCAUAUGUUUGGGAAAAAGACCCCCCCCCCCGGCUGUUAUUAGUGGUCUCCUUGAUUUGUUUGUAAUAGAUUAUGUAUAUUGUACAUUAUAUUAUAUUCUGAAUCAUUCCACUGUGCAUUGGCUUUAAAUGAAAACGUGUGGCAAAUACAAGAUAGAAAUUCUAUAACUUAUCAAAAACAGUAUUAUCUUGUAUAACAACUUAGGUAACCUUCAUCACUGGUAGGGAGUUCUUACAAAGAUCAGUGGAUAUCUAGACCCCAAAAGUUUGAAGACUUGUAGACAAGUCACAGGCACCCUGCCCAUAUCUUGUGAAUCUAUCUAUACUGUUUUGGAGUCACAAGGAACACGGCCUUCUGAACUCAAACCUUUACUGUUUGAAUGUAAUUAUUUUUACGAUCUAAAGACAACUACUGUAAUUCAGCUCGCUUUUUAGUCAAUACAAUGAAAAAUGCCAUUCCCAUUUUAGCAAAUGGCAGCAGAAAUGCAAUACAAGGAGCAAAAACACUAAUACAGAAAUCAAUAUCUAUUACAGUUUAAAUCACAUUUUAGUCCUUUAGCAAUCCUUUAAAAAGCUAUGGCUGAUCCUGUUUGUAUUAGAAAUCAUUUCAGUGUCUUUCGGGGUUUUCUUUUUGAUACUUCAAAACGUAUCACUUAAAAGCCAACCUGCCAACUUCAUCUCAUCACCCCACUGCCUUCAUCUUCUAAACCAAUGUAGGCAUGCCUCCAUCCUCAAGUCAUUGCCUUGCUAUAUUUAUAUGAUAUAGCAGCUGAAAAUCUUGUGACAUGCAAGUGAUUGUUGGCAUCCAGACUGUAAUGAAAUGUGAUUGUGAUAACUUUAUUGACAGAGAUCUUGUACUACCCUUUUCUGUGUGAGAUGUUAAGUACAGUUGUGGUCAAAAUCCAGGGCUCAAACAGAAAUGUUUAUCAAGCGUCUUCACCUUCUAUCUCAGAUGGGUUUUUUGUAGAGUUGGCUCACAUUUUCUAAUGUCAUUCAACACACACAGAUGUGAUGAAUGGAUUGAGUGAAUUUUAUAUUUAAUAAUGAUGGCUUGACUUGGCCUAAUGUGUUGUAGAUUUGCAUACAAUGGUUCAUCAUGCCAGUGUUUUGUGAGUUGUUUUACAUUGUUUCACAAUGUAAGUGCAAUUUUAAUUUUCCUAAUUCAAAUAAUAAAACAUUCUCAAUGGU